rnacentral:rRNA from 2 species
UAGAAUUCCACGUGUAGCAGUGAAAUGCGUAGAGAUGUGGAGGAAUACCGAUGGCGAAGGCAGCCUCCUGGGAUAACACUGACGUUCAUGCUCGAAAGCGUGGGUAGCAAACAGGAUUAGAUACCCUGGUAGUCCACGCCCUAAACGAUGACAAUUAGCUGUUGGGACACUAGAUGUCUUAGUAGCGAAGCUAACGCGUGAAAUUGUCCGCCUGGGGAGUACGGUCGCAAGAUUAAAACUCAAAGGAAUUGACGGGGACCCGCACAAGCGGUGGAUGAUGUGGAUUAAUUCGAUGCAACGCGAAGAACCUUACCUGGUCUUGACAUGUACGGAAUCUCUUAGAGAUAGGAGAGUGCCUUCGGGAACCGUAACACAGGUGCUGCAUGGCUGUCGUCAGCUCGUGUCGUGAGAUGUUGGGUUAAGUCCCGCAACGAGCGCAACCCUUGUCAUUAGUUGCCAUCAUUAAGUUGGGCACUCUAAUGAGACUGCCGGUGAUAUACCGGAGGAAGGUGGGGAUGACGUCAAGUCCUCAUGGCCCUUAUGACCAGGGCUUCACACGUCAUACAAUGGUCGGUACAGAGGGUAGCGAAGCCGCGAGGUGAAGCCAAUCUCAGAAAGCCGAUCGUAGUCCGGAUUGCACUCUGCAACUCGAGUGCAUGAAGUCGGAAUCGCUAGUAAUCGCAGGUCAGCAUAC